rnacentral:lncRNA from 1 species
AGUUUCCGCAGUCGAUGAUGGCGUUGUAGGAGGCGUUUACCGAGCCGAAGUAGUACUGGGUCUGUUUCAUGACGCAGCUGCUCUCGCGCGUCUCGGGGCUCCCCUCGGCCUCCGCGGGGUCUGCGAGGGCCCAGAGCGCCUCAGCUCCGCCCACAGACCCUGGCAAGGUCUCCGGCCUCCCUCAGUCGUAGACCCCACCCUCCCCAUGGAGUCGUCUUAGCUCAGAUUGGGGACCCGGACUUGAGGAGGCGCCUCCAAAGCCCUACCUACCUGCUUGGAACCAGCUGUGGUAGAUGAGGCCGUAGAGAAGCUGCUGGAACAGGGACCUGCAGCGCACGGGGAGCCGAGUGCAGGUGGUCAGCAGAGGACGAUGCCAUGCCCUACUUCUCUUCUGAGCCCUCCCGGCCAGGGAGCACCUUCUCUACCCACCUCCCGCUCAGGACUCACCAGGCGGCAGCAGAGGUCCACCAGGCCAGGUUAAGGAAAUCUGCAACGGUGGGCUGCAGUGGAGAGAGGGGCGUGGACUGCCACUGCUGCCCCUCGCCCUAGGUCACCCCCAGCUUUAUCAAAUGUCAGAGGUAGGGGGUCAUCUGUGGGCAGGUCUCCCAGUCCCCCCCAUCUCCAGUCCAGGCAUCUCUGGGGACUCACCACAAAGACACCCCGGGGUGCAGCACCCAGGUUGCCAGGGGGCUGAGGGGCACAGGCUGCCUGAUAGUCAUAGGACUCCUUGCGGGUGUAGAAGGAGUUAUUGUAGAGUGCCAGCAUCAGGUUGGCAUCCACCUCACUGAAGAACCUGCCCACCUGAGGAUGUCAGGAGAAAGCCAUGGUCACAGGGCUGGCAGUGCUACACCCCUAGAAGGCUCAAAUCCCUACUCUCUUCUUUCACUCUCUUCCUGAUCCUCACCUGGUCCCACUGAUGGUUCUGGUUUGACAGCACCAGGAAUCCUCCAUCAUCAAUGAGGACACAGAUCCAUCUCACAGUGGCUGUUGGGGCCGCACUGCUGGGCAGAGAGUGAGGACCGUAAGCCACCCACCAGUUUUCCUCCCUCCCAUCACCUUUCAUACAUCCGGUUCCCCAGGCCAUCUGCAGCUGGCCCUGCCUCCAUGUAGGUGUUGGAGCCACUGAGUGGAGGGUUGGUGGGGGUUCCAGGGGACUCCAGGAAGGGCACUGCUGGGUUACUGCCCCCGCCCCUGCCCAAAUACCUUCUGAGGCUGGUCUUGGUGGGUACGGUUGCUGGCUAGCACCUUGAACUUCUCAGCCCAAGCCUCUAGGUCCAGCUUGACGCCCACCACUUUGGGGGAGAGCAAGGGACCAUCAGUGCUACCUGCCCAGGCAGUACCCUGUCCAUUGCCUGUUUCCCCACCUCUGUCCCAAACAUUCACCUGCUGGCCUCAGUGUGCGCCUGCCUAGGCUGAGCUCCACAGCUGUGCUGACGAGGAUGCCCACAGUGUCAUUCUCCAGCUCCAGCGGCCUUAACAGGGCUGGGGGUUGGGUGGGGAAGUCAGGAGUGGGGUCUGGCGGCCACACUGACCACUCUAUGCUGGGUCCUACAAACCCAGCAGUCCAAUCCCGGGAUGACUCCAGCCCAAGCACCCAGCACUCAGGACAGUGUUUGGCACAGUCUAUCCCUCUUUUCACGUCUGCCCUGGCCUCAGCCAGCCUUGUGUUGGAGAGGGGCCUCAGACAGCAGAGCCCAGUUCUGGCUGAGCAGACAGGGAAGCUGAGGCUCCCUGCCUGCUGCUGGGCACACUGCGGGGACACUCACCAUCCUGGUGUGGGGGCUUGAAGACAUAACCGUGGUUAUCCAGGCUGCGGCGGUAGAAGCUGGCAUUGAAGGGCUCAGGGUUCUCUGUCCAGUCCUCAGCUGCCCUGGAGCACCCAAGAGGCAGACUGGCUGGGUGAUGCCUACGUGUUGAGAUCCUGGUCCCUCCACACACGCUCUACCAGCUGCUGCGUGAUGCCCGUGUCCAAGAUCAGGUUGUGCAGAAGGAAGUUGUUGCCUGGAACAGGAGGGGAGGGGUGGGGGUGGGGGCAUCUUCUUGCAGCUCCUUGCCCACCCUCACCCCCACCCUUAAGGCUCCACCAGGAGCCUCCUCCAUGACCUGGCCCUGGCCCAGGCCCAGCCCUUAGCUUGUGCCUGCUUAUUUCCACACCUGCCCGGCCUCUGGGUUCCUCUGGGCUGGCCCCAUGCUGCCUGGGCACUGCCCAGAGCCAGCUGCCCUGCCAGGCACUCACACUGCUUGGAGUCUGGAGUCACUUUCUCCAUGAGCUCAAUAAAGUUUUUCAGGAACUCGGUG